rnacentral:lncRNA from 1 species
UUUUUUUUUUUUCCCUUUCUAACCAAAGAUUUUGUUUUCGAAAGGCCUAGUUAUUGAUUUUCCAGAAUCAUAUUCUUAACAGUAAGCUUUACAUAAAGCUAGUCAUAUCUUUCCAAACUGAGCACCAGCAUGUUUGCAUUCUAGAACCAGCUACAGCUACUUACUUGAAGAGUGAGUAUGGUCUUGUGUGACCCCAUACUUUAGAAUAUUGGAAUACAAAGCACUGUCAUUUUAAAUGCCCAUGUUGUUGUUCAUAGGUUAUAUCUGACCCACUAAAAAUCAACUCAUUUCUAAUCCAGAGUUUUACAAUUUGUUGGGUUUUUUUUUAACUGAUUGAAAAGAAAUCAUAAAUUACUUUCCCACACCCUUUCCCAAGGGUUAGUUUAAUUGAUGAAAGUAAGUCACCUGUCUUCUCUGGGCCACAGCUUCUUCAUCUUUAAAAUGAGGAGGUUGCACUAAAUAAUCUCUAAAGCCCUCUACAGGGCUUUAUGUUAGGUUAUGUUCUCUGUGAUCUUAUUUAAUGAAUUUGAAAUUCCAUCUAUGUAUUGAUGUUCAGUCAAAAAUGAAUAGAAAGCAUUUUUAAAGUACUUUUUAGGCCUGGAAACUUAGGGUCUAAUUUGCAUGCAACUUUUAAGGACCACAUCAAAUAUGUAAAGUAAGAUCAACAUAUAAGUUUAUUGUUAGAACAUAGCAUUUUGUUUGUAUGUAGGAAUGAUUAUAUUUUUUAAAAAAAAAUUUUAUUAAGGUCUCCAGAGAAGUUCCCUAUGAUGCUUGCUUGCAUCAUCAUAGCAUGGAGUUAGAUCUCAAAAGUAGUUAGUCUGCUAAAGUGCAGGUAUUAAUAGAUUGUACCAACCUGGAAAGCCUUUGAGGACAAGCCAUGCAGUGAAUCCAGAGAGGUUAAUCAUUUGAAAGUCGGAAAAUGUGGUAAAUUGGAGUCGGAGUGAGUAACUAGACCUGAUGAAGAACAUUUACAAGUGUAGGUGGAUGUCAUUGUUUGUGUCAGUGGACUGACUGAUAAAAUUGUGCAUCUUUUGAAAUGUUGAAGUUUGUAGCAAGAGGAAAGCCUGGAAGAGUUAUAGUUCAUUGGCACCCAUAGAAUAAAUUUAAGACAUGGUGUUAAGGAUUUUUAUAUGUUGAAAUCAGACUCAAUCCCUUCCUAACAAAAUGUUAGCAUGAAAAUAUGUUUGAGGUAGAUUGAAAAAACACACAACUUUCCCUGCCUUUCUCUCUCC